UACAGAGGUGGCAAGCGUUGUUCGGAAUUACUGGGCGUAAAGGGCGCGUAGGCGGCCAGACAAAGUCGAGCGUUAAAUUCCAGGGCUUAACCCUGGGCUGUUGCUCGAUACUAGUCGGCUAGAGUGUGGAAGAGGGUGCUGGAAUUCCCGGUGUAGCGGUGAAAUGCGUAGAUAUCAAGUGGAACACCAGUGGCGAAGGCGAGUCUCUGGACAUUUCCUGACGCUGAGGCACGAAAGCCAGGGGAGCAAACGGG
rnacentral:rRNA from 1 species